UUUCAUGUCAGAAUCUUUAUUGUAGACUUUCCUGUUUACAUGUUAUUUGUGGAAUAGUUACCAUUUAUGUGUCUACAUCACAACUUGUGAAGUUGAUGCACAGAGUGAUAGGCUAAUAACAUGGAGUACGAUUUGUAAGUGAGUGCCAGGUUAAAUAAGAGUAACAGUGAGACUUUGACAUUUUUACCAAAUUAGCACCAAAAUGUUAUAGAGUGAUGCCCAUACUGAAGAAUUCAGCCAGGUUUACAGUUGUUGACACUUAGAGAGGGGAACCUGUCAUGCAGGCCAGGGAUUGAAAGUUGUGCGCCCGGCACCGUCUCGUUGUAGACUGACUUGGUCUCACUCCCAGGUAAAGGGGCUCUCACACAUUCCCGGUCCCGGUCGCGACCGUCCCCGAUGACUCCCGAUAAGCCGAUCGGGGCCUGACCGCCGACAAAAUAGGCAAUAAUCCCCGGACCGGCGGCUUACCGCCGGUCUGCCUGCGGUAGACCGGCGGCUUACCGCCGGUAAGCCGGCGGUUUACCGGCGGUAGACCGGCGACCAUAUACGAUUUUCGAUUUCUCCGACCGGCGACUGCAGCAGGUCAGUCGGCGGUAGACCGCCGGCCUACCGGCGGCAGACCUGAUACACAUCGACGACCAAACACUUUCUUUGCAUUUUCAUAUAUUUAUAAUUACCUCAUAAAUAGCUUCAUACCUAAAUUCAUUCGUGUGCAUAAAACUCUCUCUCUCUCUCUCUCUCUCUCUCUCUCUCUCUCUCUCUCUCUCUCUCUCU